UACCCUACUAUGCCUCGCCGUAACACAGCAAUUAAAUAACCAAUUGCUCGCCAAAUAACUACGAGUGAAAACUUGAAAUUUAAAAGACUUGACGGUACUUCACAACAACCUAGAGGAGCCUGUCCAAUAACCGAUAAUCCACGAUUAACCCCACCCGUUUUUGCCCAACAGUCUAUAUACCGCCGUCGCCAGCUUACCUUGUGAAAGAAACAGAGCAAGCCAAACAGUACUUACACUAACACGACAGGUCGAGGUGUAACAAAUAAACGGGUCAAAGAUGGGCUACAUUUUCUUAAUCAGAAAAAACGAAUAAAGUAUGAAAUAACAACCUGAAGGAGGAUUUAGCAGUAAGAUAAAGACAGAAUACUUAUCUGAAACCAACGCAAUGAAGCGCGUACACACCGCCCGUCAUCCCUGUAAAAACAACACAAACAUUCAUAAACACACACACACACCGAAGCAGGGCAAGUCGUA
rnacentral:rRNA from 1 species